rnacentral:rRNA from 1 species
CCUACGGGGGGCAGCAGUGGGGAAUCUUCCGCAAUGGGCGAAAGCCUGACGGAGCAACGCCGCGUGAAGGAAGAAGGCUUUCGGGUUGUAAACUUCUUUUAAGAGGGAAGAGCAGAAGACGGUACCUCUUGAAUAAGCCACGGCUAACUACGUGCCAGCAGCCGCGGUAAUACGUAGGUGGCAAGCGUUGUCCGGAUUUACUGGGUGUAAAGGGCGUGUAGCCGGGCUGACAAGUCAGAUGUGAAAUUCCGGGGCUCAACCCCGGACCUGCAUUUGAAACUGUUGGUCUUGAGUAUCGGAGAGGCAGGCGGAAUUCCUAGUGUAGCGGUGAAAUGCGUAGAUAUUAGGAGGAACACCAGUGGCGAAGGCGGCCUGCUGGACGACAACUGACGGUGAGGCGCGAAAGCGUGGGGAGCAAACAGGAUUAGAUACCCUUGUAGUC